CUCUUGCCUGCCUGACCCUUCCCACCAUCCUGGUCCCUGACUAACACGCUCAAACGUGACAUAGCAACUGCACCCCGUCAUUCCCACACAACAACACACCGCCUGAGGAUAUGCUGUGUGUACAUAUAUGCGUCUAUGUGCAACCUUUUACGCUCUGCGUAACCACUCUGGUGCUGUUGUCGUCUCCUGUGGGAUUAUCUUUAUAUACGUCAGUUUGUUUUAUUUAAACAUCUGGCACUGAUGUUCGGUCCUGAUGUGUUCACUCUGCUUUGGGAAAGAAAAGAGUGUGUGUAGGGGGGAGUCGUUUUAGCAUUAAAGGUCUCCCAGAGAAAAAACAUGACAUCUUUGAGACAAGAGAAGAGAAACAGACCAAAAGAGAGAGGGGGGAAAAAAGCAGUAUCAGAUUUUCCUUCACACACAGCUGGAGAGCUUUAACUUCCUGUGAGAAACGUGUGUGAAAGACGGAUGCAGAGCACCACCACAACCAUCACUGUAACAAUCACACCCACACACAUACUAAACACACACAAACACUCAUAGCCAUGCUGUGUAAAAAUGGAGCCUGAAAAUCCCCGUCUGACACACUGCAAUUCUUAGGUACACAACAACCUCUCAUGCUUAGGUCUUUAGGGAACAAUUCAGUUGUUCCAAUAAAAGUCAACUUGUGGUCACUUAAUCACCUUUGGGAACUCACUGAUGUUUGAAUUUACCAAAGCUGAGUUCGUUUAUUUCAAUGACUGGCAACUUGGAGCUCCUAAAAGGUUUAUACACUUUUAGAAAAGGUGAUGAUACAGGAGUGGUUAUGUGGUUAAGUUGUCUUUGGAAGGAAAUGUAUGGCUGUUUUUUUCCCACUGCAAAUUCAUAUCCACAAGAACUGGCCCACACAUGAGCCAACAAAUCUUGUGGAUCCAGUUUAUUUUCCUCCCUCAGAAGCAAUUAGAAUGGUCAUAAUGACAACAAUAACAGCAACUGCAAUUACACCAUUGUUAUGUUAAACAUUAACAUGACAUUUAUGAAGGUGAAAAUUCUGCACCAUGAUGAAAUUUACAUAUAUACCACAGCACUGCUGAAUUUUCGAAUAUGAUUGGUCAAAAGGUGUUGAUUACUUUUCUAUGCCAGCAACUCUGACUGUAGUUCCAGCUGUCAAAUUAUACAUUACAUUUAUAUUUAUGGCAUUUGGCAGAGACCCUUAUUGAGAGAGACUUACAUUUAUCUCAUUUAUGCAACUGAGCAGUUGUGCUCAAGGGCACUCAUCCUGAUAUGCUAUUGUUUCUAUAGUAACAACUUACACAGACUUGUGCUGCAGAUGCUUCACAUAAACAGAAUAAACACAUGUCUAAUUGUUGAUAUGGUGAAGUUUUCUCUUUUCUUUGUUUAGGGAAGGAGUCUUCAGUGUCAGCACUUUGUAACAUUCAGAAGUAAAGCAGUUCCUAUAAGGUGUAAGACAUGAAAGUCUUCAGGUCUCAGGACUUUUAAGUUUCUUGGUAACACAACAAGCUGCAUUUUUUUAAAUUUCAUUAUUAUUAUUGGUAGUAGUAGUAGUAUUUAAUAUUAUCUUAUUAAAUUUCGAGAAUACGACAACAUGAAACUGUGGUAUGAGAGGAAUAAAACACUUAGGACAUGCUGUUAUAGGAAUCUCCAUCAUUGGCUAUUUUCCUCUAACACCACACCCCAUCGUUUUUAUUCUUUACUUAAAUAUCAAUUAAUUGCUAAAAAAAAUGAUGAAAUUAAAACAACACUGAAAGUAUAGUAUCUACUGGUGUUGCGUAUUGUGAUGCAGUUUGCCAUAACCAACAGUGGUGUUAGUCUCACUUCCAAGUGCCAUUAGUUCCUGUCUUUUCUGACUUCAGAUCACACAACUGAAACAAUUGGCCUGCAGUAGUGCACUGGUGGCAGUGUAAAAAGGACAGUUUCAGUUUUGUGGUGCCAAAUGUCCUGGAACAUUGUUCAAACAACAGUGCCCUUUGAUAGAUGUUUUCACUGGUGCAUUUAACUCAGUGAACUAAAAGAAUCUUUCCAUAAUGCAUACAUUUUAAAGCAAACUAAAGGAAAUAAUCAGCAAGCAUUGCUACACUGACUCACGCUUGACUCAGAGGCACUCUUUUCUCGAACCAAUGAACCUGGGACUGCUGACAAAAGCAGUAUUCAAUGAAACGAACAUUGUAAUCCUAUGAGAGCUACAUCUACUUAAACACUUAAUCCAUCAAAAACAAUGAUACCCAGUGAUUUCAUGUGUUGUAAAUAAAAUCAGCAUAUGGAAUAAAUCAUCCAGAAAGAUCUAAAUCUGCAGACAAUAAUCCUGAAGAGGCUGCAAUGUAAGAAGAAGCUGUUGGUGGCCAAAUCCAAACAGAGAGGCAACCUGCCAAAAAACCUGCAAAACACACACACACACACACACACACAUACUGGCUUUUUUUUUUAUCCCCCCUUCCUGCAAUCAUUAGCCAUUUAUACAUGACAGGGCUAAUACAAGUGUCUGUUGCCCCCUACCAUACAAAAUUUUGGCAUCGGUUGUGGGAAAACUGAUCUACUAUGUUCCUGUCAAAACAAACCUUUUUUUUCACCCCUCCAUUCCCCUGAGACAAGACGUCUGCUAUCUAGAAAGCUCUCUGGACCCCCCCUUCCCCCUUCCCCCCACGAGAACCGUAAACCCUGUCAAAUCCAUCACUGACCCAAAACACUUCCAACAUGACGAUCACGCUAUUAGCAGCUCUUAACACAAAUUCUCCAAAUAACAGACAGCAUGAAAACAUUGUUGUUGUUGUUUUUUUCAUUUGUUUCCUUGUUUUAGAGCUAUGCUGCUUCAUUGUUCACAACUAUCAGCAAGUUAUUGUAUGAUUAAAGAUUUAGGAAUAAUAUAUUUCAUACUAUGUUUUAGAUUUGCUUCUACAUAUACACUAUUUACAUAUCAAGCCACAGAGACAGAGAUUUCGAGUGGCCUGAGGAGCAUCUCUAACUUCUAUUCAGAUAAUCAGAAAUGUAAACCACUGCGAAGCAAAGAGCAGGAGACGUGCAUUGAGUACAUUCCAAACAUAGUUUCCCAUUUGCAGGAAAAGAAGGAGAUUUGUAGCUAUGAUACAUUUUAUUUUUCUUUUUGUGCAAAAGAAUAAGAGCCAUCUACAAACAUCUACGACAUCUGUAAAACAUAUCAAAGACAUGGGCAAGCAGUUACAAGUACAUAAAUAGCCCGUAAGUAUUUUCAGCUCAUGCUGGAAAACACAGCAAAAUCGCCAAAAAAAGUGCUUGAAGAAGGUCAUUUCCUGUUAGAAGGACCACUUAAGACCUGACAAAGCACACCAAAACCAGCCGUCUCUCCCCAAUAGCAACAGAAACAACAACAAGAACAUAGCAUGACAUCAGCACUGCAGAUUUUAACCAGCACAUGAAGUAAUUAAAGAUUAAAAAAAAGAGGUUUGUUUACCCCAGGCAGGAGAACGAAGGGUUUUUCAUGGCCUGUGUCUUGCUUUUCUGUCUGCCACAUGGAAUUCCUGCACAUCUUUUCUAUAACGCAUGACUUACAAUGCCCUUGCACAAGAAAUUAAAUCAUGGAUAAGCUGCAUGCGUAGCAUACCAGAGGAAUGGUGCUGACUGGUAAUUCCCAUAAUUCUGCUUUUUUAUAUUUCCAACAAUAACUGACCUGAUCACAGGCUACAAAAAUUUAGCUUCCAGAUGCUGUCACUCUGCAGAACUGACAAGGGCUGAACUCAAGGUGAUGGUUAAUACCUCUGACAUGGACAUGCUCCUACAACCAGCAGAAAUUAGUUUGUGGUAGACCACAGCUAUAGAAAACCUUUGGCUACAGAUCUGCCUGGUGAUAAUGUUUAGUGUCUCCAAAUGAUUUAAAUAAAGUACUAUUCAUUUCUGGACAUAUGUCUAUUAUCAAUUUUGCACAGGAUAAGUUUUUUGUAUAUGUAUAACAAAACAAGUUAAAAAAAACUUAGUGACUGGUGACCUACUCAUACACGGAACAGAUGUUUUCUGGAAAAUCACAGAAUGAUAAAAUCUCUGUUUAUCUGGAAUACACACAAGUGUUUUUUUUUUCUUUUUGUUUUUUGUUUUUGCUCUCUCUACACAUGCAAAACCUCAGGUUCUGUUUUGGAGUUGAUAAAAAACUAUGGCUCCUUUCAUCAAACCUAGUCAUGGUGUUUUAAACCAGUAAAGAAAUGAGUGUGUGGUAAAUCAGAGGUUUGGGUGUUUUCAGAUGUGGCCGCAUAUCUGUUCCCCUCCAAGCUUGUUACGGAUAAAUUGUUGGCAUGAAAUGUGUUUGAGAACCAUUUAAAUUAAAAGCCCAGAACAGUUUAAUUGCAAUGGAUCGUCCCUCCUUAUUUAAUAAAGUGCCAUAUAUCUUCAUAUUUACAGCCACAGGUCAUAGUUUCUCGCUCUCUGCUCUCUCUGACUGUGCUCAGCUGCUGAGGAGGACAGCAGCGCCAGAGACAUGUCAUCUGAGAAUUACAGAAAGUUCCGUCUGUGAAGAAGGCACCGGAUGCAGGGGCCCAGGGAAUGAGCUGCACCCUUCAACCGCCGGCCACAUCUGGUCCAUAUGACACCAGUUCCCAGAAAACACCCUUGCAUUAGCGAUAUGUUGAAAUACAGCCUUCAGUGCUUGACUUUGUUUAUAAAAUCACUUCAUUUAGACUCACUAUAUAAUAAAUUUAGCAAUCAUUUAUAUACACAAUAUGUAAUAUUGCUGUCAUAAUUUUGCAUAUUUGUGUGACAGCUGUCAUAAAAUGGUCCUGUAGAUAGUUAAUCUUUUACACAGUUGUACAUUCCUCAUUCUUAUAACAACACUGUGCAAAAUAAUAUAUAAUCAAGUGAAAAUAUAUUGAAUAUAGGCAAAUGUGUGUGUAUAAUAUGUCUCAUUAUGAAAGGAUUAUAAAAUGUAUAUAAGAUGAUUAUGUGUAUUUCCUUUCCAAGAAAAUCAUAUUGUAUUGGCAGAUCAUUUGGCUUCUUUAUAGAAAGAAGCAAGAUGACUGAAUAAGCAAAGCUACUCAAUAACUCCUAAUUCUUACUAAAUAAUAUACCUGAAUUGUACUAAAUUUAAAGCUAGGACAUUAAGGUGUUUAGGGUUCUUAGCUUUCUAAAGAUGAACCCUGUCUGAUGUAAUCUUCUUUAAAGAGGGAUCCUCCAAAUGAACAAACUGAAUCAUGCUUUAGAGUUCUAGAUUUAACCUUUUUGUCUAUUCAUUAGUAGAACCAUUUCAGGUGGUUUAAGCUAAUUUCAGCUCUUUUUCUUCACAAACAAACACACAUUGAGCUCUAACAACAACCCCUCACAGACUGCCCUAAAACUCUACUUCUUGCCAGCACCCCGAUAAUCCUGUGAGAACCUCAGCACGCCCCCAUGCAUCAAAAAAGAGUGAGCCAGGGACCUAGGGAGUGAGGGAGGGGAAGAGGCUGAAAAAAAAAUAGCAGCUGAACACAAUUACUGCUCUGGCAUUAAAUCCCCUUUUCCACUUCCACAAACAUAGCAAGGAAAAAUGUAGGGAAAAAAAUGAAAGAUGAGGAAGUCGGGUUUUGCUUAAGUUAUUCUGUGGCGCUAGAAAUAGGUUGAUGUGCCAGGUGAUAAUUAAACCCUAAAAUAUUAACCCCCAUUUUCCGAGAUGAUCAUUUAUUAUGAUCCUAUAUUAAUUUAAUAGGUUGCGCAAAACAAGUUAUUGAUGUAGGUAUGAUAAAAGACAUAUUAUAUUAUGUGCUCAAAAUUUUCCAUUGUGCACACAUGGAGCUCUUCCUUGGUUAAUAAAGCACAUUGGUGACACAUGCAAAAGUUAUGCACUGUUAUUGUCUCCUCAGAGUUUUGAGUUACACAGACAUAUGCAGCCACACACACAUAAAAAUACACAAACUGUCCUUUUGACACAUAGUUACUUAUCUCCAAAAGAAAGUCUGAUAAUAUUUUCUUUUGGUCCGCCCACUUUGCUUUCUGACAGGCACUUUUUCUUCCAUGUCCCUGUUUGAUUUGGAUGCGGUGCAGAAAAACAGCACAGCUUUAGACCGAUGAGAAAGAGACACAAUCACUUUUACAAAGCAUAUUUUUUGGUUCCAGAGGGGCGAAGCAUAAUUUUUGGUGCCAAACAGACUGGUUUGAGUAUUUCAGAAACUGCUGAUCUCCUGGGAAUUUCACACACAACAGCCUUUAGAAUUUACAUAGAAUAACUUGUGAAUAAUGAAAAAACAGACAGAUGCAAGCUGACAGGAAGGCUAUGGUAACUCAAAUAAUCAAUUUUUACAACCGAGGUGAGUAGAAAAACAUCUCAGAACACAUGGGCUACAAGAGCAGAAGACCACAUCGGGUUCUACUUCUGUCAGCCAAGAACAAGAAUCUGAGGCUACAGUGGGUACAGGCUCUCCCAAACUGGACAGCUGAAGAUUGGGAAAAGAGCAGCACAGCUGGGGGAGGGGGAGGGGGAGAGCGGAAACAGCUGAUGACGCAGAGUGAGCAUAACUCCCUUCAGAGACAAACUGACACCGCUUCAGCAUGAGACGUUCUCUCAGAAUUGGCAUACCUAUACCCUUAUGUAAGUAUAAGAGAAUUCCUCACAGCACACUACCUCAUUUCUGAGGAACUAACCCAGAAAGCAGAAACUAUUAGAGUAAAAUGGAAGAAAAUGACUUCGGACAUGUUUUCUAUUUUAGAACUAAUAUCUGUGCAGCAGCAUGACCCAAGAGCAGAUUCUUAAACGUGAUCCAUUUAUGUGAUAUUCUUUACAUUCACAAGCUUCCACACAAUGUUGACAUUUCUCAACAUGGCAAAACUCAUCGAAGUUCAGUUUGAGGCUGAAGUGUAAUUGUAGUGUAAUUUUACUUGUACGAGUUUUUCUUAGUGAUUUUGUGACACAUCUGUGGAAAAUGUUGAUAUUCCCAAUAGUUUUGUCUUAUUUUAACUGUCACAAUGCCUUUACAUCAGUGGUUCUCAAAGUGGGGUCCUCCAGGGGUCCAUGAAGCCUAGCCAUGGAGUCUGUGAUUUUUUUAAAUAUAGUUACAACAGAGGAAACCCAAAUUUAUUAUCAAGUUCUUUAGUUAGCCUGUUACUAAAGAAUUCGUCAUGUGACUUGAAUGAGUUUAAUCCCAAACCUCAAACUCAAAAACGAGUAGCGUUCCUUUGGUUGAAAAUUCAGGAUUAGAAAGCUCUAUGGCUCUGAUAACUAUUAUAUACAACCCUAAUGUGGUCUUCUGCUGCUGUAGCUCAUCCACCUCAAGGUUUGGCAAUGUUGUGUGUUCUGAGAUGCGUUUCUGCUCACAAUGGUUGUAAAGAGAAGUUCUCUGAGUUACCGUAGCCUUCCUGUCAGCUCAAACCAGUCUGGCCAUUUCUCCUCUGACCUCCUUCAUCGACAAGGUGUUUCCACCCACAGAGCUUUCACUCAGUGGAUGUUUUCUUUUUUCUCACACAAUUCUGUGUAAACUCUAGAAACUGUUGUAUGUGAAAAUACUCAAAAGCUAUUCUAUGUUGCUUAAUAACAGCGUUCUAAUGACUCUGACGAUGAGCAUAUCGUGUUCACCUUCCUACCACAAAUACACAAGUCCCUUUGGAAUGCACCAAAAUAAUGAAGCCCUACCUUCAUUUCUAGUUCUUCAAGAGGGAGUCAGAAAGAACAGCAUGAUCCAGGCAAAGGGGGAUACGCAUGAGAAAGCAUGGCACUGCCAAUCUCAAAUCCUGGCAAGCCAGAGAUCAGGUGCAGAACAUCUGUGCCAAACAUCUGUACUGCAGCAUGCACAGCUCACGCUAGCCAUGUAGAUGGAUAAAUAAGUAAACAGGAAGAUGCACAAACAUGGAAAAAGUUUUCUGCAAGCAAUAAAGUGCAAAAUGAGUUCCUGCUGGGCUGGAAUGUAUAAGCAGCAGACGUUUUGAGAACAAAAUAUUGAAUAAGAAGCUCUACCCACACACACACAAAAAAGGCAAGCAGCAACACAAACUGGCAUUCUUCCAUAAGGAUCAUCUUACAUCUGUUAGUAUGUAGUAGCAUAGUAGCUAUUAACCCAUGCUCAGGACAAGGAACCAGUUAAGAAGAGGAGCUGUUCAAACAAUUCAUUAACACCAAAACGGUGUCCCAUUCAAACUGGUCUGAGGUUGUAACUGCUUGCCAAACACACUCGUUUAGCGAGAGAGUAAACAUCUUAAAUUUCUCAGGCACUCCUGUGAAAGGGGAACAUGUGUAAAUGCACCCUACUGCGUUUACUCUCUCUGAGUGGCAAAGAGAUGCCACAUAUUUAACAUGCACAAACAAAUACCUGCAUCACAAAUGAUCCCAGCUGCCCAGUGUCCUGGAAAACUGUGGGUUUUCCCAUCUACCAGAAGAAACAAGUUGCCACAACAACACUGACCAUAUACAAAGGCAUCUAAAAAGCAACAAAGAUUAUUACUGUGUUUAAAUUAAAAGUGUGUAUAAUUUCACUGUCGUAAAAGAUGGCACUGAUGCAUCAAACAAUGACACGCAUUCUCUCAAAGGGAUGCUAUGAGUCAGAGUCUGAAACUAAAGUGAAGUUAGGUAGAAGAGUGUGAGCUGUCCAGAUCCUUUCAGUAUUCAGGACACAUUUAAGAGUGUGCUCAGAGUGAACAAUCAGGAAGUCCAUGUUAAUUCCUCACUGUGUUAACAUCUGAAUGUCUCUUACAGCUAAAAUGUACCCCUGUUCUCUCUCUCUCUCUCUCUCUCUCUCUCCCUGUGUACCUGCUGCCUGCAUACAAAGCAUUUAACACAGUUCUCAACAUGUGCAGUGAUUUAAAUUACCCAGAAACAGGAGCAGAUUGUUCCAGUAAAAAUAAUGCACAUAGGAGAGUUCAAGAUGCUUACCUUAAGCUUCUCAGUACUCCGAGUCCUGUUAGCGCGUCAGAUUCUGGACAUGCCUCUGUCUCUGCCUGUCUCUCUGUCUUUCCACUACUGCUCUCUCUCGUGCUGUCUCUGAUUCUCUAAAGUGCCCUGCCUCCCAGUCGCUCUUCUUACAUGUGAGUAACGGUCUCCAAUGCUGUGGAGCUUUGUAGCGUGGAGGCUGGGUCAAAGUCUCUGCUCUGUGCUGACGGAGCGAGUGUGUUUAUCGUUUACACUCCUGAGCCCUGAGAAGAGGGGAGGACCAGACAUCUGUUUAUUUAGUAAGACGACCACUUAAGCUACCAUAAUCUGAAGCUCUGAAACUGAUACUGGGAUAUAACACUGUUUCCUCACUCCAAUGAAUUUCACAGACGGACAAAUUCGAACCAGAUUGACAGAGAGAGAAGGGAAUGAGAGAAAAAUAAAUGAAAAUGCAAAAGAAAAUUGAGUUGUGCACCGAAGCAGUGAAGACGUUUUCUUUACACCGAAUGUUUAUUUGAUCUGUAGACACACACAUGUAAAUAUUAAUGUGGCUGCUUUAUGCAAUAAUAUACUUUUAUCCAAUCCUCACCUUAGUAACCAAAUGGGAAGUUAUUUUGUUUUUAUUAAAUCUGCAGUUUUGUAAAAAAAAAAAAAAAAAAAAUUCCUUGACCAGCUAAAUUUCCCCACAAGGUCAAAGUUAUAAAGAAAAAUUCUUACCCUGAAUGAUAUGAUAUAAUUUCCACACAUGUCCACACACACACACGCACGCCCGCGCACACACACACACACCGGUCUCCUCAGCAACAGAGGUCCAUUUUUGUUUCUUUCCCUGAAAGCACGAGUGGCAGGGAAGUAGAGUACUCCUUGGAUACUGGCAAGUCUUAAAACGAAAGAAGGAAAAGAAAGAGGGAACAUCUGAAAUGAAAAACAGUCUGCAUAAAUCUCGGUCUGGUAGAAAUGUGCAAAAGAUGGGAGAAAAGGAGAUGUUUUGAAGAGGAGUUUGUCAGCUGUGUCUUACACUGACUAGGGCUAGCAUUCACUGCUCCAAACACACACAUACACACUUUCUUUUUCACUCCUGGAUUCUGUCCUGCCUGUGCACUCUCUGUUUCCUUCUCUCUUUUUCUUUGUCCUAGGAAGUCUGCAGCUUGAAAAUUCAUAACAGCAUCCAGCAGCUGAGUAAGGACUUUUCUCUUUAUUGGAGUGGCCAAAACAGGGCCAGACGUAGCAACAGAGAGAGAGAGAGAGAGAGAGAGAGCUGGCAUGCUCACUCCUCUAAUUGUGUGAGUAAAAAAACGAGGGCAGUCAUGAAAGAACAGGCAGUAAUUAGAGAAGAACAGGGCAGUCACUUCUUAUUAGCACUCCUUGGAUCUCUGAACCAUUUUAACCCUUUCAUUUUAACCCUUUCAUCAUCUGUUCAUUUAAUGCAGCUCUUUUGUUUACUGCAAUCCAAACAUGCAAGCACACUGCAGAACAGCUCGGUGAUUUGUGCUUUUGCACUGCGCCUGAUGGCUGAUUAAAGAUAAACAGCUUUGAGUAAAAAAGCCUCUGAAGGACGGAGUAAAGGCUGACUCUUAGUUUACAUGCAGUGCGGUGCUUGGGGUUAAGUCUGCAGUCCCAAACAGUCUGGUGUCCUGACCACUCAGAGACAUGACACACAGACACAACAAGGUUUAUACACUCCACUCUCCCAAAAAGGCUAAAUAUCCUAUUUAACCCUACAACAAAUGGUUCCAUAUAAAGCCCAUUUAGGAUUCAAUAAUUCAAUAAAAGACUCCUUUAGCAUCCUCUACCAUCCUUUUUCUCUUGCUAAGAACAGUUUUCACCCAAGUCUCCAUCAUUGAACAGCUAAUAACUUCAGUCUGAUACAACAGACUUUAAGUUAAAACUAUAAUGAAUUCAGAAAUGACUCUAAUGCUAAUACUCACGUUCCUGUUAACACAAGUAGCACCUUUUGACUAUAUAGUACACAGUUAUAGAAGAGAAAUGAUUUAUAAUCACGCUAUCAGGUGUCACCCAGAUGAGGAUGGGUUCCCUUUUGAGUAUGAUUCUUCUCAAGGUUUCUUCCUGAUGUCCUCUCAGGGAGAUUUUCCUUGCCACCUCCCCUCUAGCUUGCUCAUUAGGGGCAAAUUUAUACAUUUUAAAUUUCUAUCUGGAAUUUAUAUAUUUCUGUAAAGCUGUUUUGUGACAAUGACCUUUGUUUAAAGUGCUAUACAAAUAAAAUUGAAUUGAAUUGCAUUGAAUUUUUCUAACAGUAUAAAAAUGUUUCUUUUUCCACAGCACAAUUAAAACAAGAACCAGCCCAAACACAAGCCAGACACAGUACUUAGAGUUCUAGCACUUCCUUGAUCAUCCUGAGAGACAGUGGUGGCGCAACUACAACACAUCUUAAAUUAAACAUGUGUAUAUGUGCUUGAAAUAACAUACUUCCUAAUUCUGAUUGGCCAUGUUUAUUUUUAAUGGGUUUAUAUUGGCUGCAGUUAAACUGCUUCCAAAAUAAUGUCUACUGUUAAAAACUUUAUGCAAAUAAAAUGAUUGAAUUGAAAAA